UUGAAUAUUACUUUAUUGCCAAACAAGCUUCUAGAUUCUAUCACCUCCACCCUAACUCUCUCUCCCCUCAACUUCCCCUCCUCGGGCGAUCGCUCCCCUAAAACUAGCAAACCCUCAUUUUUAGCCUCCGCCCGCGUGCAUCUGGCCUCCCUCAGUGUUGUGGUGCUCCGAUUACAUCCGACUCCGACGCGGUGAGGACGUCAACGUUCCCUUCUCGAUGACUAGAGUCCGUCUCCUUCUCUAUUAAGCGGUUUUCUUCUCCGUGGUGGCUCAGAUCCAGUGGCCCCUCACGAUGCAACGAGGACUCCCCUCAUCCGGAUGGCAGCUCAGACUUGUGGGGAAGAUGGAGUGGGCUCUUCGGCUGUGAUAACGGCUCUUCCCUCUUCCUCUCCAUUUGGCGGCGUGGUGUACUCCAAUGGCGGCGGCCUCCUGCUCGCUCCCGGAGGUCGCUUCUCCUUUCCGGAGCUCCAACUGGUUUUCUGAUGGAGCAGAGCUACUACUGGUUGUCGUUCGGGUCGGGCUAGUCUCGAGUUGGGUCCAUUACCGACCCAUUAGGCCAUCGGUCAAAGUUGGGACGAUCUACACCUCCCCGCUAGUUUAUUGACCCAAUUUUCUCAUCUUCUAUGGCGGCUUCUUGUCUUCAGUCUUCUCACCACUUCUUUGAGCGACGGUAUCACCGCCCAUCAGGACAAGAUUUGCAAUUCUAGUUGAUUUGAUCUUCCUUCCGCCUAUUCAAAUCAAUUUUUUGUGGCUUGCCUCUUGUUGUUGAUUAUGAAUAGGUUGGCUCUCCUAUUGACAGUCACUGGUUUGACCGAUCGAGGGAGCUCUAGCCACUUAGUUGCUAGCUCUUUCGAUUUGAUUAUCUUGGGAUUAAGCUAUUAGGGUUAUGUUGAUUAAAAUCGAUUGACGGUCACUAGUUUAAACAGAUCGUAGGAACUCUAGUUUCUUUGAUUUGACUGUUUAGGAAUUGCGAUCUGUGGUCGGAGCCUGUGCUCGGAUACCGACUCAAUGCAUCCUUUUUGCUCUAUCUCCUGCAAUGAAGAUAGAAAUUCACCAUCGAUUAAUGGACUGAACUGAGGAUCCCUCUUCCCAAUUUUCACUGUGGUCCGUGGUUAAAUUGUUGCAGGAAUGUAGUGGUUGAUCGGGAUUCUUGGUUUCACAAUAGCUUACUACUAUUGUAAUGCCCUUACUUGUGCCUUUUUCAGUCUAUCUUCCUUUAUAGUUUACCCGGCGGACCAACCAAGUGUCCUGCUCUUGUAAUUCAUGUGGAGUGCUUGAAUAUUUUUCUCUGUAUCUGCUUUUGCAGUGGACCAUUGUAUCCAUUUGGAUAUCAAUGAAGGAUCCUCAUUGCCUUUUGAGAAAAAAAAAUAAAACAUUAAAUAAAAUUGGCAUAUA